GAUGAACGCUGGCGGCGUGCCUAACACAUGCAAGUCGAACGGAAAGGCGCUGCUUUUGCGUGGUUCUCGAGUGGCGAACGGGUGAGAAACACGUGAGUAAACCGCCCUUGACUUUGGGAUAUCUUCAGGAAAAUGCGGCUAAUACCGGAUAGGAGCUCCUGAUGCAUGGUGGGGGUCGGAAAGUUUCGGCGGUUUGGGAUAGACUCGCGGCUUACGAGCUUGUUGGGGGGGUAGUGGCUUACCAAGGGUUCGACGGAUAGCCCGCCUGGGAGCGGAGCCAGCGACAUUAGGACUGCGAGACGCCGCAGACGGCUACGGGAGGCAGCGGUGGAAAGUAUUGCGCAGUGGGGGGGAGCGUGAUGCAGCGGCGCCGCGUGCGGAAUGACGGCCUACGGGGUAUGAACCGCUGUCGCCUGUGACGAAGCGUGAGUGACGGUAAUGGGUAAAGAAGCACCGGCUAACUACGUG
rnacentral:rRNA from 1 species